CGGCGGGGGAAGAGGACGAGGAGGAAGAAGCUGCGCGCGGAGCGGCGGUGGCAGCGGCCCCUUCCCGAGGGGCGACGGGGACGGAGCCCGCGGGUGUCCGACCCCGGUGUCCCCACGUGCAGGCUCCUCCGUGUUGCUCUCUGAAAGCAUUUGCACAGAAGCUGUUUCUCCGUGAGCAGCUGUGGGGCAUUUGGCUGAUGGUUUUGACAGCAGAGAUGAACUGAGGACGUGGCAUAUGCAGUCCUGACCUGGAAUUUGAACCCUUUAGUGCCUCUCCCUCCUCCCAGACGGAAAGGAGGCGGAAGAUCUCAGAAUCUUCUGAUUGCCAUCGAUCUGAUUUUGCUGAACACUGGCCUCGUAUCAUGUCUGUGUGUUCCUUGAGAGAUGAUUUCAAUCUGAAAAAAAACCCUGUAAGUAUCUUGAGAGCUGGAAAUCAGCUGCUCUGAUCUAACAUUUCUCCAGCAUUUAGCCAUCACCUCUACAACCAGUACUUCAUUUAAAAAAACCCAAACAAACAUGAAGCAUAAGGAAAACCAUGAGAUAAUGUUGCUGAUUUUGAGGCCCAACUUACAUGUUUUUCCUUUCUGGUAUUUUUGUAGGGAAGAGGGAAUUGUAUCAUAUUUUUAUCUUUUUUUUUUUUUUUUUUUUUUUCCCCACAUCUGGAAGGACUAGACAUUUCUUUAACAGAGGGGAAAAUAAAAUAAGUUGAGAUUCCCAGGUGUUAAUGUGGCUGAAAGAAAACAUGAAUACAUAGAAAUUCAUGCUCGUUAGUACUGGCACAGGUGUGACUCUGUAGAGCUGAAGCUAACCAAGACUAGAGAUGAGAACUGCACAAAAUUGAAGCCCUGAUUAAUUAAGAGCAAUUUCUUGGCACAGACAAUGAUGGAGCAUCCUUGGGUGGAUGUGCACAUGUCUCAGUGGACCUCAGCCCUGCUUGCCUGUGCUGGGGUGAGGCUUUGUGUGGGCAGGCAAGGGCUAGAAAAGUGGCUUUGCCAAGAAAGCCAAGCCAAGAGGAGCAGUGAGCCCCCUCACCACUGCAGCUUCAUGUGUGUUGCAGCACCCAGCACACUCGUGCCCCGUGCUUCUCCAGGGGCUCCAUGCUUGGAACAGCUGCUGGAGGAAGUGUGGGAUCAGGAAGGGAAUCCUGUGCACACAGGGGAAUGUCCUUUUCAUGCAGGAUGAUAAGCAAAACCCUGAAAGAGUAGUGAUGGAUCCAGCAGCCCUGGGGAGAGCCCACACUGCUGGAACCACUGGCUUCAUGGAACAUUUUCCUGGAGUCCAAUAGUAGUUUUCUAGAGUUAAAAAAUGAUCAAAUUUCUUUUCCUCCCUGUCUGCCAAAGGCUUUUUUGUCAUCUGUGUCCAAAAUCUCCAGCAGAAACCCUAUGAUUGGAGCAAUUUGGUCCAAUGCCAUGAGAAAGGACUGCUCUACACGCCUUAGGAAGUGCAAAAAGGAGAAAGAAGGUAGAGCCCUCCUCUGUGCUGUGCUGGAUUGCUCAUCAAAGCCAGCUGCCUCCUGUGCUGACUUGAGGAUGUGACAGAUGUGUGUAACAUUUACAGGUGCAGGGCCUGCAUUUCAUCAGGUUUUUUUCCAUGGAUGACCUGGAGUGUGCAUUAUUAGCAGCUCAGAUUUCUUUGGCUAAGGUUCUUUGUUGUGUACACAUCCAGGUUAAAUCUAAGCAAUAUUUCUGAUCCAUGCAGGCUUCUGACUCGGUUCUGCAUCUUUGGUGUUUACAAAAUGAUCAGAGUUUGAACUCUCCCUGUUCUGUUUCUUAAAUGUCAGCAGAAACUUUUUUUUUUUUUUUUUUUUUUUUUUUU